UACGUAGGGUGCGAGCGUUGUCCGGAAUUAUUGGGCGUAAAGAGCUCGUAGGCGGUUUGUUGCGUCGGCCGUGAAAACCUGCAGCUUAACUGUGGGCUUGCGGUCGAUACGGGCAUCACUGGAGUUCGGCAGGGGAGACUGGAAUUCCUGGUGUAGCGGUGAAAUGCGCAGAUAUCAGGAGGAACACCGGUGGCGAAGGCGGGUCUCUGGGCCGAUACUGACGCUGAGGAGCGAAAGCGUGGGGGAGCGAACAGG
rnacentral:rRNA from 1 species